AUUGAACGCUGGUGGCAUGCCUUACACAUGCAAAUCGAACGGUAACGGGCCUUCGGGUGCCGACGAGUGGCGAACGGGUGAGUAAUACAUCGGAACGUGCCCGAUCGUGGGGGAUAACGAGGCGAAAGCUUUGCUAAUACCGCAUACGAUCUACGGAUGAAAGCAGGGGACCGCAAGGCCUUGCGCGGACGGAGCGGCCGAUGGCAGAUUAGGUAGUUGGUGGGAUAAAAGCUUACCAAGCCGACGAUCUGUAGCUGGUCUGAGAGGAUGAUCAGCCACACUGGGACUGAGACACGGCCCAGACUCCUACGGGAGGCAGCAGUGGGGAAUUUUGGACAAUGGGCGCAAGCCUGAUCCAGCCAUGCCGCGUGCAGGAUGAAGGCCUUCGGGUUGUAAACUGAUUUUGUACGGAACGAAAAGCCUUCUUUUAAUACAGGAGGGUCAUGACGGUACCGUAAGAAUAAGCACCGGCUAACUACGUG
rnacentral:rRNA from 1 species